rnacentral:rRNA from 1 species
ACUGCCAGGACUGCCACGCAGUCUGACGCAGCACGCCGCGUGAGGUGAUGAAGGCCUUCUGGGUCUGUAAACCUCUUUUCUCAAGGAAGAAAAUCUGACGGUACUUGAUGAAUAGGCCGCGGCUAAUUCCGUGCCAGCAGCCGCGGUAAUACCCC